CAAGUCGAACGAGACCUUCGGGUCUAGUGGCGCACGGGUGCGUAACGCGUAGGCAAUCUACCCGAUACAGGGGAAUAACACGGGGAAACUCGUGCUAAUACCGCGUAAUAAAUGAGAAGGCAUCUUCUUAUUUUAAAAGCUUCGGCGGUAUCGGAAGAGCCUGCGUCCUAUUAGCUAGUUGGUAAGGUAACAGCUUACCAAGGCGACGAUAGGUAGGGGAACUGAGAGGUUGAUCCCCCACACUGGUACUGAGAUACGGACCAGACUCCUACGGGAGGCAGCAGUGAGGAAUAUUGGUCAAUGGACGGAAGUCUGAACCAGCCAUGUCGCGUGUCGGAAGACGGCCCUCUGGGUUGUAAACGGCUUUUCUUUGGGAAGAACACGCUCUUGCGAGAGCAACUGACGGUACCAAAGGAAUAAGCACCGGCUAACUACGUGCCAGCAGCCGCGGUAAUACGUAGGGUGCAAGCGUUGUCCGGAUUUAUUGGGUUUAAAGGGUGCGUAGGCGGCUAUUUAAGUCGUGGGUGAAAGCCCGUCGCUUAACGACGGAAUUGCCUGCGAUACUGGAUAGCUUGAGUAUCGUUAAGGUUGGCGGAAUGGGAGGUGUAGCGGUGAAAUGCAUAGAUACCUUCCAGAACACCGAUUGCGUAGGCAGCUGACUAGGCGAUAACUGACGCUGAGGCACGAAAGCGUGGGGAGCGAACAGGAUUAGAUACCCUGGUAGUCCACGCCGUAAACGAUGAUGACUCGUUGUUGG
rnacentral:rRNA from 1 species